ACCCUUGGUACCAGCACUGAUGGGAUCUGCUUUCCUUUUUCCAUCAGUGCUCAAAGUACAGCUUCCAGGCUGGAAUAGAGAAGUGGCUGGACAGGAGAUUUCUUCAAUGGCACCUUUGGUUGAAGGACCUGUGCCUAAAGAAGCAGGUGAUUCUGAAACCCCUAAACUGAGGUCGUUGUAAGUGAAUGUCAACUGCUUCUGAAAGGAGAGGAAAACAAUUCCCACACUGUCUCCCUGCCAUCGUGCAGCUCUGACCUAUGAUGCUCUCAGCAAGGAUGCCAAGCCUGAAGGAUCCCCCUGUCCAUUUCCUCUCUCCUGUGCCUGUGGGUGGGCUCCCAGGAGCUGGGAGGAGGCAGCAGCUGUGAGGAGUCACCAGAGCUGUGCUGGCAAACCCAGCAUCACAGCUGGGCAUCACAGACUGCUCUGCAGGGGUGCACAUUUAGCAUCUGCAUGAAUCCCAUGGAGUUUGAAACAGGUUUGUGCUGGAAGCCUGAAGCCUGGGAGUUCUGAGCUUUCUGCCACUGACCCCCAGGAGAGCACUGCUUUUGACCUGAGGCCUUGGAGAAGGGUUCCAAAUUUGAAUGAUGGAGGGUUUUGAGUUUGGAAUUUUUAGAAUAUAGUAAUAGGUAUGGGACAAGAUAGAGGAUUUAGGGUGUUGUCUCUGUCUUCCUUCUUCAUAAUUUCAGGUAGUAGCUUUUGGUUGGAUAGUUAGUGCUGCACUGCAGGUCACAGGGGUUUGGAUCAAAAGGAUAAAUAAUAUGGGUGUUAGCUCUUUAAUAAACUGCUUAGCUUUAAAAGACCUUGUAAC